CUACGGGGUGCAGCAGUGGGGAAUAUUGGGCAAUGGGCGCAAGCCUGACCCAGCGACGCCGCGUGAGGGAAGAAGGUUUUCGGAUUGUAAACCUCUGUCCCCCCUGACGAAACAAAUGACGGUAAGGGGGGAGGAAGCUCCGGCUAACUACGUGCCAGCAGCCGCGGUAAUACGUAGGGAGCGAGCGUUGUCCGGAAUUACUGGGCGUAAAGGGUGCGUAGGCGGCAUAUUAAGUCAGGUGUGAAAUUUUCGGGCUCAACCCGGAACCUGCAUUUGAAACUGAUAAGCUUGAGUGUGAGAGAGGUAAGUGGAAUUCCUAGUGUAGCGGUGAAAUGCGUAGAUAUUAGGAGGAACACCAGUGGCGAAGGCGACUUACUGGCUCAUAACUGACGCUGAGGCACGAAAGCGUGGGGAGCAAACAGGAUUAGAUACCCGAGUAGUC
rnacentral:rRNA from 1 species